rnacentral:rRNA from 1 species
CCAGACUCCUACGGGAGGCAGCAGUGGGGAAUAUUGCACAAUGGGGGAAACCCUGAUGCAGCGACGCCGCGUGAGUGAAGAAGUAUCUCGGUAUGUAAAGCUCUAUCAGCAGGGAAGAAAAUGACGGUACCUGACUAAGAAGCCCCGGCUAACUACGUGCCAGCAGCCGCGGUAAUACGUAGGGGGCAAGCGUUAUCCGGAUUUACUGGGUGUAAAGGGAGCGUAGACGGCGGUGCAAGUCCGGAGUGAAAGGCCGGGGCUCAACCACGGGACUGCUCUGGAAACUGUGGGGCUGGAGCGCAGGAGGGGCAGGCGGAAUUCCUAGUGUAGCGGUGAAAUGCGUAGAUAUUAGGAGGAACACCGGCGGCGAAGGCGGCUUACUGGACCGUAACUGACGUUGAGGCUCGAAAGCGUGGGGAGCAAACAGGAUUAGAUACCCCCGUA